CCUACGGGCGGCUGCAGUGAGGAAUAUUGGUCAAUGGACGAGAGUCUGAACCAGCCAAGUAGCGUGAAGGAUGACUGCCCUAUGGGUUGUAAACUUCUUUUAUAUGGGAAUAAAACGUUCCACGUGUGGGAUUUUGUAUGUACCAUAUGAAUAAGGAUCGGCUAACUCCGUGCCAGCAGCCGCGGUAAUACGGAGGAUCCGAGCGUUAUCCGGAUUUAUUGGGUUUAAAGGGAGCGUAGGUGGAUUGUUAAGUCAGUUGUGAAAGUUUGCGGCUCAACCGUAAAAUUGCAGUUGAAACUGGCAGUCUUGAGUACAGUAGAGGUGGGCGGAAGUCGUGGUGUAGCGGUGAAAUGCUUAGAUAUCACGAAGAACUCCGAUUGCGAAGGCAGUUCACUGGACUGCAACUGACACUGAGGCUCGAAAGUGUGGGUAUCAAACAGGAUUAGAUACCCUAGUAGUC
rnacentral:rRNA from 1 species